rnacentral:rRNA from 1 species
GAUGAACGCUGGCGGCGUGCUUAGCACAUGCAAGUCGAACGAUGAACCGGGUGCUUGCACUCGGGGAUUAGUGGCGAACGGGUGAGUAACACGUGAGCAACCUGCCCCUGACUCUGGGAUAAGCGCUGGAAACGGCGUCUAAUACUGGAUAUGUCCCGUCACCGCAUGGUGUGCGGGUGGAAAGAUUUUUCGGUUGGGGAUGGGCUCGCGGCCUAUCAGCUUGUUGGUGAGGUAAUGGCUCACCAAGGCGUCGACGGGUUGCCGGCCUGAGAGGGUGACCGGCCACACUGGGACUGAGACACGGCCCAGACUCCUACGGGAGGCAGCAGUGGGGAAUAUUGCACAAUGGGCGGAAGCCUGAUGCAGCAACGCCGCGUGAGGGAUGACGGCCUUCGGGUUGUAAACCUCUUUUAGCAGGGAAGAAGCGAGAGUGACGGUACCUGCAGAAAAAGCACCGGCUAACUACGUGCCAGCCGCCGCGGUAA